GUUUUCUCUGAGAAGAAUGAGUAUAUAUGUACCCGCCCCUCCCUUCCCCGCCCCUCCCUACUGUUGGCCAGUAGUCCUGUGGAUGAUCCCUAAAGUAAUAGUGGAGGGAUCAAACUUCUUAACUCAGGGCCAUGGGCUUGUAAAAGUUCUUAACUGGUCCUGACUCCUAUUUCCUGAUCCCCCUGCCCCCUUUUAGUCCACAGAGUUUUCCCAGAGAAUAAUGAGCGUGAAAUAGUUCGGUUUACAUUUAUCUAGGGGUGGUAAUUUCUCUGAUUCUGGUUGCUGAGCCUUGGCUUCAUGAAGAACUUCAGAGCUGGGAGGUUCUAGCGAUCAUCUAGUUCAAUCUCCUUAUUUAACCGGGAGAAAACCAAGAUCCGGGAAGUGUAACUAAUUAAAAAGAGUAACAAAGUAAAGUAAAACAAGAACCUAGGCAGCCCAUGGGGGAGGGGGGCGGUUGAGGAGUUAGUGGAGGGACAUAGAAUUCUCUGGCCAGGCUCAUAGUGGGGUGGAACUUCUGCCAUCCCGGGAGUUCUCGGCUUCCAUGACAAUGGAGUUUGUUGUCAGUGCUGAGGGGAGAGGGUCCGCUGGCGCACCGGCUGUACCCUGGUCCUGCUCCUCUUAGUGGCCUUUGUGCCAUACAGAUCGAUGAUACAGCCUGUCAUCCGGCCAGAUGCGUCUCCUCUUCUGUGUUGUUGGCCUUUGUGCCAUAUGGAUGCUGUGUACCUGCGAAGAUCCAGGUGAGUGCCCUGGCCCCAGGCAAAGAAAGGACUCUCUGCCCAAUUGGUAACUUUCUGGUAGCUUUAGGACCGCCCCCCCCGCCCCUUCCCCGC